UAGAAUUCGAUGCUGCCUUUCAUUAAUCAUUCCAUGAAUCCUAGUCCAGAAUCUCAAUUUCCUCCUCCAAAUAAGGGGGACAAUAAUAUGAUGGGGACUAGGCUGUCACGAGACUGGAGCGAUUCCAGUGCAGCAGAAGGCGGGAACGAAGGCUGUCCCGGGCUGGAAAGGCGGCAGAGAGCGCUGACGGCCGGGAUCGGAAAAGAACAGAAGCCCCGCCCUAGACACGCCCACCAGAGACCACGCCCACAGGACAGCCAGGAGCGCGCCCGAAACCACGCCCCCGGAACCCCGGAGACCGGGCCGGGAUGGAGGGCGGGUUGUGUCCGCACGCAUCCAUCUCGGGGUCUUCCUCCGGUGCCCUCUGGGUCCCGCCUCUCCUGUCCCUGUUCCUCUCUGCAGUCCUCUCCCCAUCUGUGUCCCUAGCUGUGUCUGUCCCCGCAUCUCUCAGCUCUCGGAAUUUCUCUGUCCAUCUUCCAUCCUCUACCUCUGGCCCCAGGCCCGUCCACCUCCCGAGGUCCCCCUCUCCCUCCGACGUCUUUCUCUGACCCCAGUCUCCGCU
rnacentral:lncRNA from 1 species